GCGGGGAGACAACCCCUUCCCCAAGAAUGCUGAUGGGACUAUAUGCUACGACUCCACCCACUACAAGGAGACUUGGAAGGCUCUGGAGGCACUGGUGGCUAAGGGGCUGGUCCAGCGGAAAGUGAUCUGCAUCCCCAAAAGUAUCACUCCUUCUCGAAUCCUUCAGAACAUCAAGGUGUUUGACUUCACCUUUAGCCCAGAAGAGAUGAAGCAGCUAAAUGCCCUGAACAAAAAUUGGAGAUAUAUUGUGCCUAUGCUUACGGUGGAUGGGAAGAGAGUCCCAAGGGAUGCAGGGCAUCCUCUGUACCCCUUUAAUGACCCGUACUGAGACCACAGCUUCUUGGCCUCCCUUCCAGCUCUGCAGCUAAUGAGGUCCUGCCACAACGGAAAGAGGGAGUUAAUAAAGCCAUUGGAGCAUCCA
rnacentral:sRNA from 1 species